GGCAGGCUUAACACAUGCAAGUCGAACGCCCCGCAAGGGGAGUGGCAGACGGGUGAGUAACGCGUGGGAACAUACCCUUUCCUGCGGAAUAGCUCCGGGAAACUGGAAUUAAUACCGCAUACGCCCUACGGGGGAAAGAUUUAUCGGGGAAGGAUUGGCCCGCGUUGGAUUAGCUAGUUGGUGGGGUAAAGGCCUACCAAGGCGACGAUCCAUAGCUGGUCUGAGAGGAUGAUCAGCCACAUUGGGACUGAGACACGGCCCAAACUCCUACGGGAGGCAGCAGUGGGGAAUAUUGGACAAUGGGCGCAAGCCUGAUCCAGCCAUGCCGCGUGAGUGAUGAAGGCCUUAGGGUUGUAAAGCUCUUUCACCGAUGAAGAUAAUGACGGUAGUCGGAGAAGAAGCCCCGGCUAACUUCGUGCCAGCAGCCGCGGUAAUACGAAGGGGGCUAGCGUUGUUCGGAAUUACUGGGCGUAAA
rnacentral:rRNA from 1 species